GAGUGCCCCGGGAUCGCUCCGUGUGCCCCGCUCUCCCCACUCCCCUCAGACUCCCCGCUCACCGCCGCGCGCGCCUCCAGUACCCGCCAGAAUUCGGACCGGCCCCGCCCCUUCCGGCGCCUGCGCGCACACGCCAUCUUUAGCGCUGGCAGCCGCGGUGCCGCCCGGCGCCAUCUUGGCUGUGGGCGGGCGCCCGCUGAGUGGGGGGGCGAUGGUGGCCUGUGGAUCACAGAAUCGGUGGGAUUGGAAAAGUCCUAUCGAGUCCAUCCUGUAACAGAUCACAGCACUGACUGCCGCGUCUGGGCUUUCCUUAAACAUCUGCAGGAACGGUCACUCCAAUGUGGAAUUAUCCUUUCUGCGAAGAUACUGCUCCCACUGUCCAACCUAAACCUGCCCUGGUGCAGCUUGAGGCCAUGUCCUCUCAUCCUGUUGCCUGGAAGAGAGAUGACCACAGGGAAGCUGUCUGCAGCCAAGCAAAGCUGCUUUAACAUGAACCUGACCCCGAGGGCUGGAGAAGGUGCCUGCAGUACCUCUUUGGACAAGGUGAGGUGAGCGCUCCUGAUCCGGCAUUCUGGCUCCGUGGCGACUCUGCAUCUCUGCCAGAGAGGUUCUGUGGGUAAUAAACAGGUCAAGGCCUCUGAAAACAGACCCCUGUCAUCUGGUCAUGCAUUUAGUUCACAACUGCUGCUCAGAAACAGGGCCUGGAAAUGCCACUGCUUUGUGAGAUCAUGCCAGAGGUCUGCUGAAAUCAGGGUCAUGCAACUGACACCAGCAGCAGGAUUUGGGCAGCCACACACCUAGGGAUCCAGGGCACCCUUCUCUGGAAAACUCCAAGGACUCUCAGCUGUUCUGGGAAAACUGCAAAUUUGCUUUAAGUAGAAAAGCAAGUUCUACCAUAAAAAGGACUCUGUGUGCAGUUAAUGUGAAAUGUAACUUGAUUCAACUACCACAGUACUCGGAACUGUGUACUCACCACUGCCUCCUGGAGAAGCAGCAGAUAUCCCUGGCACACAUGCAGAAGAUUAGCUGCAGAAUCACAGCUAAAACUGAGGCCAAAACCCAAAGAAACUCACGUGGAUCAGUGGGGAGAAUUUACCAGGCAUGCAUCAUCCGAAAUGAAAACUUACUAAGGCACCCAACUAAGAACUAACACACUUUACAGAGAUUCUACCAAAAAAUUGAGAAGUGAGCCAAUUAAUUUUUUUUUCUCCUUUUAAAUUCAAAUUAAGCAAGAAAUGUCUGCAAAGUUAUUUGCCUUUCUACUGACAUGCUCACAAAGACAAUGUUGGUCAACACCAGGACACAGAGUAACGGGACAGUGCAAAGGCAGUUCAGCCAAAGUCUGUUCUCACCGGCCAAGGUCUUCAAAGUUUUGCUGCUCUUUUAGUAGGUAUGCCAGCUGGACAGCCAACUGCUCCUUCUCCUCAUGGAUCUUCUCUCUUGCUGCCCUCUCAGCAUGGAAAUCAGAACAAUAAACCUCCAUCUGAUCAGAGAAAUGAAAUCAAGCUGAAAAUUUGUAACUUUGACUGAACUGUAUAUUACUGUAUAUUACAUGUCAAAAGCACAAAUCUGUAUCAUAAUCUGCAUCUACUCAAAACACUGCAAAGCCAAGACCUGCACUUCUCCCAAGGUGAGGAGACCUAAUGCUUUCUGGACUCUGCAAAAGAUACUUUGAGUGUCUUACCUGGGACACAGGUAUUGCCUCUGCUGUACAGAGGCAGAAAGGAGGCACAGACAAGCAGUGAGAAGGUGACUUGACUGGUGACACUGACAUAUCUGUGGCUCAGACAGUGGAAUCAGGCCAAGAUGCCAUUCUAUGCCUUAAAUGUGAGGCAAACCCUUUUUAAUCACUUAACACAUGCUGGUUUGAGUAAAAUCAUUCCUAAAACAUAUGCAGUGAUUCUUAAGCCAGUGGUUCUAAAUAAACAUCUACUCUCAA